rnacentral:rRNA from 1 species
GUGAAUGACAAGCCUUUAGCUGCACUUCAGCAAUAUCCUUGUUUGGGCCUGCAAGAAGUAUCAACAAUGAAAGUCAUUGUGUGUGUGAUCAUGGCAAUGCUUCUUACCAAUUCAUGCCCAUGUGUGCUUUCAAGGAACAACGAAGGGAAUGCAAUGCACGUGAAGAACAUGCGCAAACUGACUUCUAUUUCUAUUGAUGCUGGAAGGAGUACCCCUGCUGGUGAGGAAAUACAUCAUGUGUGUUCACUGGGGAACUACCCCUGCCAAGGGAUGUUCCAGAGUUCGAAGGAGAGCACAGAAGGUGGAGGAAACUAA